GCCUUUCACCCCUGGUCCAUUACGGAUUUUUUGCGUGUUUCGGCCCCCCUUUCGAUGUGUACCAAUUUCGCUGUGCUUCGAUGGGGCGACGGUUGUGUCCAUAAUUGUUUGAUUUGGAUUGUCGCAUUAACUUUGGAUCCGAAUGAGAGGGGUAAUGAGGGGAUGUUCCAUUUUUUAUAUAUGAAUCUUUUUCGCAUGAUUCGAGUGGCCAAGGUCACAACAGGCAUUUUUGAAUUUUAUUCCCAAAGUUUUCUGACCAUUUUCCUUCUAUCGCGUGACACGGCUGCCGCUCUGACGUCACAUGC
rnacentral:lncRNA from 1 species